GACGAACGCUGGCGGCGUGCCUAAUACAUGCAAGUCGAGCGCAGGAAACUGACGGAACUCUUCGGAGGGAAGGCAGUGGAAUGAGCGGCGGACGGGUGAGUAACACGUAAGGAACCUGCCUCAAGGAUUGGGAUAACUCCGAGAAAUCGGAGCUAAUACCGGAUAGUUCAACGGACCGCAUGGUCCGCUGAUGAAAGGCGCUUCGGCGUCACCUUGAGAUGGCCUUGAGGUGCAUUAGCUAGUUGGUGGGGUAACGGCCCACCAAGGCGAAGAUGAAUAGCCGACCUGAGAGGGUGAUCGGCCAAACUGGGACUGAGACACGGCCCAGACUCCUACGGGAGGAAGCAGUAGGGAAUCUUCCAAAAUGGACGAAAGUCUGAUGGAGCAACGCCGCGUGAGUGAUGAAGGUUUUCGGAUCGUAAAACUCUGUUGUAAGGGAAGAACACGUACGAGAGGAAAUGCUCGUACCUUGACGGUACCUUACGAGAAAGCCACGGCUAACUACGUGCCAGCAGCCGCCGUAA
rnacentral:rRNA from 1 species